UCCCAGGUAGCUCAGUGGUAAAGAACCUGCCUGCAGUGCAGGAGACCCAGGUUCAAUCCCUGGGCCAGGAA
rnacentral:tRNA from 1 species